AGCUGCGGCUGCUGAGGUAAAAGGCGCUUUAUUGAGUCGCCUGAGGACGGGUCCGCGUCCCAUUAGCUAGUUGGCGGGGUAAUGGCCCACCAAGGCGAUGAUGGGUAGCUGGUCUGAGAGGAUGACCAGCCACACUGGGACUGGAACACGGCCCAGACUCCUACGGGAGGCAGCAGUGAGGAAUAUUGCACAAUGGGCGAAAGCCUGAUGCAGCAACGCCGCGUGAGUGACGAAGGCCUUCGGGUUGUAAAGCUCUGUCGGGUGGGAAGAUGUGGUCCGGCUAACGACCGGAUUGUGACGGUACCAUCAAAGGAAGCACCGGCUAACUCCGUGCCAGCAGCCGCGGUAAUACGGAGGGUGCAAGCGUUGUCCGGAUUUAUUGGGCGUAAAGCACGUGCAGGCGGUCUGUUAUGUCGAGUGUGAAAUCCCGGGGCUUAACCCCGGAACUGCGCUCGAAACUGGCAGACUUGAGUUCGGAAGGGGGAGAUGGAAUUUCCGGUGUAGGGGUGAAAUCCGUAGAUAUCGGGAAGAAUACCGGUGGCGAAGGCGAUCUCCUGGUCCGAUACUGACGCUCAGACGUGAAAGCGUGGGGAGCAAACAGAAUUAGAUACUCUGGUAGUCCACGCUGUAAACGAUGAACACUAGGUGUUGGGGGUACCAAUUCCUUCAGUGCCGUAGCUAACGCGUUAAGUGUUCCGCCUGGGAAGUACGGCCGCAAGGCUAAAACUCAAAGGAAUUGACGGGGGCCCGCACAAGCGGUGGAGUAUGUGGUUUAAUUCGACGCAACGCGCAGAACCUUACCCAGGCUUGACAUGCAGGGAAUCUGGUGGAAACACCGGAGUGCCUGGUUUACCAGGAGCCCUGACACAGGUGCUGCAUGGCUGUCGUCAGCUCGUGUCGUGAGAUGUUGGGUUAAGUCCCGCAACGAGCGCAACCCUCGCUAGUAGUUGCCAUCAUUCAGUUGGGCACUCUACUGGGACUGCCGGUGUUAAACCGGAGGAAGGUGGGGAUGACGUCAAGUCCUCAUGGCCUUUAUGCCUGGGGCUACACACGUACUACAAUGGCCGGUACAGAGGGCAGCCAGCCAGUGAUGGUGAGCCAAUCCCAAAAAACCGGCCCCAGUUCAGAUUGCAGUCUGCAACUCGACUGCAUGAAGGCGGAAUCGCUAGUAAUCGCCGAUCAGCACGCGGCGGUGAAUACGUUCCCGGGCCUUGUACACACCGCCCGUCACACCAUGGGAGUUGUUUGCACCAGAAGUCGCCAGGCUAACCGCAAGGGGGCAGGCGCCGAAGGUGUGGGCAGCGACUGGGGUGAAGUCGUAACAAGGUA
rnacentral:rRNA from 1 species